rnacentral:rRNA from 1 species
GUGGGGAAUUUUCCGCAAUGGGCGAAAGCCUGACGGAGCAACGCCGCGUGGAUGAUGAAGUCUUUCGGGACGUAAAAUCCUUUCAGCAGGGAAGAAGCGAGUGACGGUACCUGCAGAAGAAGCAUCGGCUAACUACGUGCCAGCAGCCGCGGUAAUACGUAGGAUGCGAGCGUUGUCCGGAAUUAUUGGGCGUAAAGAGAACGUAGGCGGUUUUUUAAGUUCGGUCUUAAAGACCGGGGCUCAACCCCGGGAAUGGAUUGAAAACUGGAAGACUCGAGGACAUCAGAGGAAAGUGGAAUUCCCAGUGUAGCGGUGAAAUGCGUAGAUAUUGGGAGGAACACCAGUGGCGAAAGCGACUUUCUGGGGUGUUUCUGACGCUGAGGUUCGAAAGCUCGGGGAGCAAACAGGAUUAGAAACCCGAGUAGUCC